UAAUCUUAGUUUCUUUGGAACAGGUUCUUGAUAAUCUUGGACUGGUCUCCUUCUUUUUUGAGCUUCAAAUCUUCCUCCUUGACUGUCAUCAUCGGCAUACCGUAGUGGAAUGUCCAUUGGUCUCCUCCUUCGAUCAUUUCUUUGGUUGUACAAGUUUCUAAAGUUUCUUCGAGCUCGUCGGCCUCCUCUGUUUCCUGCAUUUCGGUCAUAAUCUUCAAUCCUCAUCGGUGCCGGUAAUCCAUCUAUUCUUCGAGUUAGCGUAUCCAAGUUGUCCAUUAUUUUGUUCAUCUUAUCGUGUAAAUCUUCCAAGGAGUCUUUGACGGCCAGCAAGCAAACUGUGAAUGUCCUUGGAGAGAGGGCGAUGAUCUCCUCCACCUCUUCUUGCUCGCGGUUGUUCCCCGCGACGGGGAUUCUUCUCUAGUCAGACAUCCAUCCGAGGAUCGGGGUUGCUCUGAUGCCACUUGAUGUAAUUCAAGUUGGACUUAAUUUCUAAAA
rnacentral:lncRNA from 1 species